rnacentral:rRNA from 1 species
UGGGGGAUAUUGCACAAUGGGCGAAAGCCUGAUGCAGCGACGCCGCGUGGGGUAUGAAGGCUUUCGGGUUGUAAACCUCUUUCGCUAUCGAACAAGGCCCGCUUAGGGUGGGUUGAGGGUAGGUGGAGAAGAAGCGCCGGCUAACUACGUGCCAGCAGCCGCGGUAAUACGUAGGGCGCGAGCGUUGUCCGGAAUUAUUGGGCGUAAAGGGCUUGUAGGCGGCUUGUUGCGCCUGCUGUGAAAACGCGGGGCUUAACUUCGCGCGUGCAGUGGGUACGGGCAGGCUUGAGUGUGGUAGGGGUGACUGGAAUUCCAGGUGUAGCGGUGGAAUGCGCAGAUAUCUGGAGGAACACCGAUGGCGAAGGCAGGUCACUGGGCCAUUACUGACGCUGAGGAGCGAAAGCAUGGGUAGAGAACAGG